GGCCUUAUAGCUCAGUGGUAGAGCAUGCGAUUGCAGUCGAUGAGCGUGGCUCGAUCACGUGCCAAUAUCGCAGGGUCUCGCGUUCGAACCGCGAUGGGGCCU